CUAGCCGGUCGCCGCCUCCCGGCCUUCGCCCAGCGCUGGAUCUGCUCCCCUUUGCGGGUUGUGCCCGGCUGCCCUAGCCCACGGGUCACCCAAGGGACGGGACUUCUGGACACGGGCUCUGUGCCCUCUCCUGUUGCCUGCUGCUUCCCACUAGUGUCUAGGGUGGAGACCGGGGUGGGAACGCAGGGCGCCUGCUCCGGUCCUAGGAUCCAAGCCUCUCCCCGGGACCGCCGGGGGGCGGGCUACGCCUCGGGAGCUCGGCAGCUUCUCCGAGCUGCUUCGGCCGGUUCUCUUUCCCCUAAUUGGCCUCUCCCGGAUGUGUUCACUUGGAAGCGCCGAAGCCUUGGGGGCAUCCACUAUUCCCUGGGCGCUGCCUGAGCCCUUCCAACUACUUUGAGCCUGUCCAGUCAGACUGGAAGUGGAAGGACUCCCUUCCCGGUGAGACGGUCUAGGUGAAGCGUGGUUGAAGGUUUGGCUCCCUGGCCAGGAAGCGUCACCUCAAAGCUCCUGGAACGCCCCCAGGGGCGCUCUGAAUUAUAGAUCGUGUUUGGUGUGUUUCAGGGUUCUUGUCCCGUUUAAAGUCAUAAAGCUACCUCACUGUGCUGUGACGAGCUGAGCUGCCGUUUGGCGGCGACGUGGUUGGAGGUAGCAUCAAAGUAGAGGCCGAUGUCCUAGAGGAGGGGGGGGGUCUCAGCAUUGCAGGACGACACAAACUCUAGAGACUGCCCCAUUGGUUUCCCCUCCGGCGAAAUUUCGAAAUAAGACCUUUUUAUUAAUAAUAACAGUACCCUCUCGGAUUCCCCCAAGCCUUCCGGAAAAAGUACGUAUUUACACUUGGCAGAGAUUUUUACAUAGUCAUGGUCCUGACCAUAAAGUUCUAGAUCCUUGGCUCAAUCGACUGAGCUUGGUCCUUUGUGCCCCAGCUCUGGAGUGACCACUUUUGCGUGCCCUCAGUGGCCAGUGGAGGCGCGCUGGUGUCGCUGUUCCUUUUGAAUACCCUUUUCCAGUCGUGAUUUGUCAGUCACUCUGACCAUCAAGUUCUGACUUUGUAGGAGUGUUACCCAGGACUAUCUGGUUCUGACUGCCUGAUGCUGACUCACGGUUGUUUUUUUUUUUUUUUCCCUGACUCUGAUAUCAUUGACUCAACACAACGUGAGAGCAAGAGAUUCCAAAGGGGUCGUCAAAGUGAGCGGAAGGAGCGAAUCAUAGAACAAUCAUGAACUUCAUGAUGUGCAGGAGAGAAGGCGGCAGGCAGCUUCCAAGGCCACAUCCGUCAUACACAGAACUCAAACUCUCCCUGGAGCCACAAGGUUUGAUAAAUAAAUGUGCAUAGGUUUCUCAGAAAUUA
rnacentral:lncRNA from 1 species